ensembl:lncRNA DRAIC downregulated RNA in cancer, inhibitor of cell invasion and migration
CUGUACAGUUCUCUUUAUCCAGUCCUCCUCUUGGUAUCCUUUUGAUUUUCAGGGUGGCUUAUCUCAUGAUCACAAAAAGGCAGCCAGCAGCAUCUGCAAUCACACGCUUUACAGCCAGAGCGGGAGAGAUGGAGCUACUUCAGGCAUUAAGCUCAGUUCCCAAACUGGUUGCUCUGAGCCAGGUCUAUUCCAGUUGAGCCUACGCUGGUUCCAGGGGUUCAGAGCCUGAUCUGGAGAGCUUAGUCACACUGGCUGGAGAUUCUACCAUCAACUUCUAAUCUUCCAAGAAUGUUCCUCUAAAUCUGAAGGCAAGGAGAAGUGGAAACCGAGAUAUGGUGCUCUGCUGGUUUGCAGUGUCAGCCCGGGCUAGGCAGGAAGAUUUCUGGGGGCAAAACCUCUGCAUCUGCAGGACUUCCCCUUUGCUGGCACUCAGAUGGCAUUGAAUACAUGAAUUUUCAUCAGUUUUUCAAAAUAUAACAGUAAUAUGUGGAGUGUUAAAAACUCAAAAGGCUAUAUGAAACAUACUUUUCCUCAUCUAAUACCUCCAGUUCCCAGAGUGAAUCACUGUCAUCUAUUUUUCGUGUAUUCUCCCAUUUGUGUUCUAUACGUAUACCAAAAUAUAUAAACAGUAUUUACACAGGUGUGUGUAUAUAUACAACCAAAGCCACCUUCUUCUAUACAUAGGGAUUAUAGUACAAAUGUUUGUUGAAUGAAUAAAUGAGUGACUAACAGUAACUGGGGGGCUCUGACUGUGAAAGGCUCUCAUUUAUGCCCCCAACGACUGUCAGUCAGGAAAACAGAGCUCACACAAGUUGUUUGAACAGAGAGAUUUUAACGUAGGGAACUGAGUAAACAAGAAUUGGAGGCGCAGAAAGACAGAAAGUGGCCAUUGAGGACUUACAGAGAUAGUAACUGCCAAAAGGCAGCUAUACCUUUAGGACAGAGGAACAAAGAAAGAGAUCAGGGUUAUUAGAACCUGGAAGCUUGGAGAAGAAACUGCAGUGCUAGGACCUAAAACUCAGAGAAGCUGGUGCUGGCUGAUUGGUGCUGAUGUUGCUGGACAUGCCAAGGUUCUCUGGAUCCAGACUGAGACAGAGGUGGUGUGAGAAGCUGGUAGGUGUUAGUGGGAAAUCAUCUGCGAGGAGGUGAGGAGGCAGACAGGGCAGAGGAAGAAGCUGAGAGACGUGCAGCUGCACCAGAGGCCCUGGCUGAUCCGGGGACCUCUGGAACAAGGAUGGCCCUUUAGGGUAGUCUCCAAUUUAGGUUGCCCCGACGGCCACUCUCCAUACUGCUGCCAGAAGAACCUUGAAAUAUCGCUCUUUUUAAUUAAAAAGCAAAACUCUUCAA